UCUGUUGGCGAAAUUGGGAGCAUUGAAUCUCGAUUAGUGAACCAAAUUGAUUAUAUGGAUUUACUUAUGGAUUAUAUGGAUUUACAUAACACAAAUGGAAUUUGGAAUGCAUUUUAGCACUUUAUGGUUAUUAUAUGUAUGAUAUUACACGAUUAUCCAUUCGCAUUCGAAUUCGACUUAAUUUUCGACUGGAGGAUAGGAUCGCUAAGUCAGCACACUUAAAUUGGAUUAAACAAUUAGCCAGAAGCAACAAUUAAAAUUUGCCUGUACGAUAAAAUCAUGAAAUUACUCUCCAAAAACGAUUUUAACAAUUAAUAUCAUGAUAAUAACGAAAAAACAGGAUAAUUUCUAUUCGAGUAACGUAAGAUAGAAGUAGGACUAUCUAAAAAAUAGAUGCAGUACCGUUAGGCCGAAAAGGCACACUGUGACCACUGGAAUCAGUAGCAUCUUGCUCUCUGGGUCUCCGGAUCCAAACUGAGCCCAAACCCGUCGCCCCGAGAUGCUUUUAUUACCUUCAGACCAGGGGCUUCAUUUUACUGGCUGAGAAGCGGCGUCAUCAUCGUCAUUAUCGUCAUCAUCGCAAGCGGAACACAAUGCCGACGUUGCACAGUGGAGUUUUUAUUUUCUCUCUUUGCAUUUUUCAGCUCGUUAUAUUUGCCAUAUUUCAGGUUUUAAAAGUUUAGGUAAUUUAUUAAGUGCUGCAAUUGAAAUAUACAAUUUGCACAUAUUUUUUGUAUAUGUAAAUCUGCAAUUUUUUGCCAGUUGUAUUGCCCAGUUGCUCCACUGUGCGUUGCAGCUGCGCUCUUGUGACGUCAUGCCCUUCACUUACUCACUCACUCAACAACAACAACAACAACAACAACAGAGUGGCGCGCGAUUAACUUUUAAGUUUGAUGGCGCCUGGCAUUUAGCUUUAGAUUUUUAAUUGACUUUUGUUGUCAUUCGGCCGCUGUUAUUGAAUUGGUCUGAAUUGAAGUGGAGACCUUAAAGAGAUGCUCAGUGGCAGGGACUUCUGUUAUCGGGACACAUGUAAAUGGCUCGGCACAGUGGGGCAAAUGCACCCGAAAAUGUGAAACUCACAAGUCUUUAUCAGAUGUGUAGCAUAUCAAAGAAAUUAAGUACUACAUAAUCGUUCUUCAUCCGUGUUGAAGUUGCUUAUUACAAAACUUUCUUCGACUUUAGUUUUUACAACUUUUUAUGGCACAUUUACCAAAGGAAUUUUGCCAAAUUCCAAAGGACUCAUUUGUGUGAAAUGAAUUAAAUAAAUUUUCAUUUAAUUUUAA